rnacentral:siRNA from 1 species
CAAAGGAUAUACCACUCAGUGCCC